AACACACUUGAGAUAUCGACCUAUAAAUAGUGGUCGAAAGGAAAGCCAUGCUUAACACAAACUACCUACUAUUAAUAACAACAAUAUACCCCCCAAAAUGAAAGCAUUAUUAGUGAUGGUAUGCAUUCUCCUGGCUUCCACUCUCUUUACCCCUACUUUUACCAUGGCUCGACAGCUGGGGGAGAAGGACAUCAAUGAUCCACCAGUGUUUACCACUGCUACGGCGGGUGAACAUAAUGAACCUCGAAAUUGUGGCCGUGGAAAGUCUUAUAAAUACUGCAUAGGACCUGGAACUCCUUCUAUGGACCCACCCUGUUCCGUUUAUAACCGCCACGGCUGCUAAGAGUAGCCAACUAAACCUUGAAUGUAAUGGGCAAGCUAUAGGAUCCAUUGGCGAAAUUGUAAUGCGAACAUAUUAAAACCAGAUCACGAAGUUAGUUACAUUACCUGCCCAUGGUUAGUGUUUUUGUCAAGACAAUUAUGUAGUUUGUUUCAUUAUAUGUAGUGUGUCUGCAAUAACGAGUUAUCAUGAGCUCAUCAUCAUUGGCUUCUUAAGGCUUUCAAUUACUAUCCCAUGUAUCGAAAUCAAAAUCUUCCUCCGGAAGAGUUUCUUUUGAUAAUUCAAGCUACCUCCAAACUGCUUGUACGUUCAUGUGAUGUUUGAUUUUGGAGUUGCUUUAUUAUAAA